AUGUCUUCGCCUGCUCCGUCUUCGCCUCCCUCAACUCCGUGCUCCUCGGCUACGAGGGACCUCCACAUCACCGAGGUGCAGCAGGAGGUGCUCGUCGGCUGCCUCAGCUUCGUCUCCCUCCUCGGCAGCCUCGCCGGGGGCCGGACCGCCGACGCCCUCGGCCGCAAGCGCACCAUCGGCCUCGCCGCCGCCGUAUUCCAGGCCGGGGCCCUCGUCAUGACGCUCGCGCCGUCCUUCCGCGUGCUCAUGGCCGGCAGGCUGCUGGCCGGCAUCGGCAUCGGCUUCGGCGUCAUGAUCGCGCCCGUCUACAUCGCCGAGAUCUCCCCCGCCGCGUCCCGGGGCUCCUUCACCUCCUUCCCGGAGAUCUUCAUCAACCUCGGCAUCCUCCUCGGCUACAUCUCCAACUACGCCUUCUCGGGCCUGCCCGACCACCUCGGCUGGCGCGUCAUGCUCGCCGUCGGCAUAGUCCCGUCCGUGUCCAUCGUCUUCGCGCUCCUCGUCAUCCCGGAGUCGCCCAGGUGGCUGGUGGUGCAGGGCAGGGCCGCCGAGGCGCGUGAGGUGCUUCUCAGGGUCACCGACGGCGAGGAGGAGGCCGACGAGAGGCUCGCGGAGAUCGAGGCGGCCGCGGCCAGCGCGGCAAACUCCGGCGAGACGGUGUGGCGGGAGCUGUCGAGGCCCUCGCCGACGAUCCGCCGGAUGCUGGUCACCGGCCUGGGCAUCCAGUGCUUCCAGCAGAUCACCGGCAUCGACGCGCUGGUGUACUACAGCCCCACCAUCUUCCGGGACGCCGGGGUGACCACCGAGAGCCAGCUCCUCCUCGCCACGGUCGCCGUCGGGUUCUUCAAGACGGCGUUCAUCGCGCUGGCCAUCGUGCUCAUCGACCGCGUCGGCCGGAAGCCGCUGCUGUACGUGAGCACGGUCGGCAUGACCGUCUGCCUGGUCAUUCUGGCAUCGACGCUCUGGCUGCUCGCGCACGGGGCGGUGCCCAAGGCCCUCGGCGUGGCCGUCGCCGUCGUGGCGGUGUGCGGCGACGUGGCCUUCUUCUCGGUGGGGAUCGGGCCGGUGUGCUGGGUGACGAGCUCGGAGAUCUUCCCUCUGCGGCUGCGGUCGCAGGCGGCGGCGCUCGGCGCGGCGGUGAACCGGGUUACGAGCGGCACCGUGGCCAUGUCGUUCCUNUCCGUCUCCCGCGCCAUGACCGUCGCCGGCGCGUUCUCGGCGUUCGCGGCCAUCUCGGCGUUGUCGGUCGUGUUCGUGCACAGGUUCGUCCCGGAGACGAAAGGCAAGACGCUGGAAGAGAUCGAGCUGCUCUUCGGCGGCGGGGAAGGUGGCGAGGGAGUGACAGUGAGCCCCGGGGAGGUGGAGCUCGGUGACGCCGAGCACCUGGUGCGGAAGGGAUGA
rnacentral:rRNA from 1 species